rnacentral:rRNA from 1 species
UACGAGGGGGGCGAGCGUUGUUCGGAAUUAUUGGGCGUAAAGGGCGCGUAGGCGGUGCGGUAAGUCUGUAGUGAAAUCUCUGGGCUCAACUCAGAGUCUGCUAUAGAAACUGCCGUGCUUGAGUGUGGGAGAGGUGAGUGGAAUUCCCGGUGUAGCGGUGAAAUGCGUAGAUAUUCGCAAGAACACCAGUGGCGAAGGCGGCUCACUGGCCCGGUACUGACGCUGAGGUGCGAAAGCGUGGGGAGCAAACAGG